rnacentral:rRNA from 1 species
UAUGGAGAAGGAUGGGAUAUGGGAACAGGUCUUGCCCCUUAUGAUAAGGCCAAGAAGGACAAUGCCUACCAGAUGCCAAAUAUUGGUUUCUUUAAUGACAAUCAGCGCGAUGCUGUCAAAGGGGGAGAAGUUUAUGGUGCUAUCAAGUCAGGUUUUGUCAGUGGUGCUGCGACAGAGCCAAUUCUAGCUAAAGCAAUCCUAGGAAGUCGUGAAUUAGGAAGCUAUACACAUCCAAAUCAGGUGCUUAACUAUGUAGAAGCCCAUGACAAUUACAAUCUUCACGAUUUAUUGGCAACCCUUCAUCCAGACCAAAGUUCAGAGCAAAUCAUGCGCAAGGUCGAAACUGCCACAGCCAUGAAUCUGCUCAUGCAGGGGAUGGCCUUUAUGGAAAUCGGUCAAGAAUUUGGUCGUACCAAACUGGUUGCGACUGGUGAAAAUGGUGAGUUGACCCAUGAUGAUAGAGAGCGUGCGAUGAAUAGCUAUAAUGCUCCUGACAGUGUGAACCAAGUGAACUGGAACUUGAUUAAUGAGCGUCAAGACAGUAUUGAGUUUAUCCGUCAAGUCAUCCGAUUGAAGACAAAAACUGGUGCCUUUUCUUACUCUAGCUAUGAUGAAAUUUACCAUCAUGUCUUUGUGCAUUCUGCGAUUGAACAUAGCGGCUGCCUUAUCUAUGAAGUUCACGGCAAAGAACACCUCUUGGUAGUUGUGAAUGCUAAAUCAGAACCCUAUCAAUUUGAAAAUGCAGGAAAUUUAGCUAUGUUGGUAACCAACAGUCGCUCAAAAGAAGAUAAUGUUUUAAAUGAUAUUAGUCUAGCUGUCUUGAGUGUUUUAUAAAUACCAUCUAUCUCGCUAUUUUUAGACAGAAAAAUUCCCAGUUAUGAGUAUUGGUAAAAAAUCCAUUCAUUGAAAUUGAAAGAAUAGAAAGAACCUGGCUAACAGCUCACUUGUAUAGAAAAUUUGAUAAAUAUUUUCACGAAACAAGACCUCCUAUCAAAGUUUUUGAACAUUUGAUAGGAGGUCUUGUUAUUAUGAAGACUUUUACCUAGACUUUGUUUCAGCAAUCUAUGACAGUUAUAGUAGGCUGAAAUUGGAAUAGCACACCCUUGUUUCUAAAACAUUGUGAGAAAUUGGUUUGGCUGUCCCCAACCAAAUUGUUCAGUUUUUUUAUUUUACUAUAGAUGAUACUCAUUCACGCUCUUCGAAAAUUUCUUCAAACCACAUUAGCCUCUCCUUGACGUAGUGGAUUUUUUUAUUUUUAUUGAGUAUACUUUGAAAAAUCAAGCUUGUGAAAAUAAUCUCAAAAAUUUUGCAAAAAGGGUUGUUAUUUUCUGAAAAUUUGGUAAAAUAUAUCUUAAUCAUUUUCAGGAGGACAAGAAUUUGACAAGAUAUCAGAAUUUAGUAAAUGGAAAAUGGAAAUCAUCUGAACAAGAAAUUACGAUUUAUUCACCAAUCAAUCAAGAAGAAUUGGGUACAGUUCCAGCCAUGACUCAGACUGAAGCUGAUGAGGCUAUGCAAGCUGCGCGUGCAGCCCUGCCAGCAUGGCGAGCUUUAUCAGCAGUUGAACGUGCGGCUUAUUUACAUAAAACAGCAGCUAUUUUAGAACGCGAUAAGGAAGAAAUUGGUACUAUCCUUGCCAAAGAAGUAGCAAAAGGGAUUAAAGCAGCAAUUGGAGAAGUAGUGCGUACAGCAGACUUGAUUCGUUAUGCUGCUGAGGAAGGUCUCCGUAUCACUGGACAAGCAAUGGAAGGUGGUGGUUUUGAGGCAGCAAGUAAAAACAAACUGGCUGUUGUCCGUCGUGAACCAGUUGGUAUCGUGCUAGCGAUUGCUCCCUUUAAUUAUCCAGUUAAUUUAUCUGCUUCUAAAAUUGCACCUGCCUUGAUUGCAGGGAAUGUGGUCAUGUUUAAGCCACCAACACAAGGUUCCAUUUCUGGACUCUUGUUGGCUAAAGCAUUUGAAGAAGCAGGGAUUCCGGCAGGUGUUUUCAACACCAUUACAGGUCGUGGUUCAGAAAUUGGGGAUUAUAUCAUUGAGCACAAAGAAGUCAACUUCAUCAACUUUACAGGUUCAACUCCUAUUGGAGAACGUAUUGGUCGUUUAGCUGGUAUGCGUCCUAUCAUGUUGGAACUUGGUGGGAAAGAUGCAGCUCUUGUACUAGAAGAUGCAGAUUUGGAACAUGCUGCCAAGCAAAUUGUUGCGGGAGCCUUUAGCUACUCAGGACAACGUUGCACGGCCAUUAAACGUGUCAUUGUUCUCGAAAGUGUAGCAGAUAAAUUAGCUACUUUGCUUCAGGAAGAAGUUUCUAAAUUAACAGUUGGUGAUCCAUUUGACAAUGCUGAUAUUACACCUGUUAUUGACAAUGCUUCAGCCGACUUCAUUUGGAGCUUGAUUGAGGAUGCACAAGAAAAAGAAGCUCAGGCUCUUACACCAAUCAAACGUGAGGGCAAUCUUCUCUGGCCAGUGCUUUUUGACCAAGUUACAAAAGAUAUGAAAGUGGCAUGGG